CCAACAAACUGAUCCUGAGAUUCAUUUGAAUUGUCAAUUACAUUCAAAAUCUUACCAAACAACCUCCGCUUUCUACAUAAACCAAUAAGAUACACAACGUUUACAGUUCAUGUUCAAAGAUUUGUCAUGAAAUUUGAUCAAUUUGCAAUGAAUGCAAUUUAAUAAGAAAAAAAAUACAUCAAUAAAAUGCAUAAGAUUUUUUCAUAUUCGAAUUCAAUAUUUAGAUUGAGCUGGAAGAAUAUCCAACUAAAGUUCAAAUUUCUUCUCGUAUCCUAUACACGAUCAGAUCGUUAUUCAUUGGUAAAAUAGCGAUUGAAUCAUUGGAGAGAGAAGAAACGAAAUUCACGAGAGGGAAUCCACAGCUGGUGGUGGAUGGUGACCUUCAUGAGAUGGCAAAUAUGGUUGUUUGGAGUGUAAGCUCUUAUAAAUCUGGCAAGAUGACAAUUAUGAAACCUACUGGGAAUGGUGCACAACCAUAGUUUGUUAACAUUCAGUUCCAAAAGAAAGUUAAACUUCAGAGUUCAGGAGUGGAAGUUCAGGGUUCAAAGUGAAAAUGUGAAUGGUCCACUCGGCGAGUCCAUAGGUGGACUCGGCGAGUAGGGUCGCGACUCUGGUCGCGUGUUAAGUGGCCAACUCGGCGAUUCGGCAGCUGGACUCGGCGAGUUGGUGCUGUGUGGAGAAAACCAUAAUCCCAGGGAUUGAGCCCUAUAUAAAGAACAUAAUACCCUCUCCCCAGCCUCUUUGCUCUCCCUUGAAGUCCAGAAACCCUAAUUUUCGUGUGUGAGAGAAUUAUAGAGCAUUUGGAUCUUGAAGGAGUGUUUGUUGAAGAAAUCUUUGAAGAUUAAGAGGCUUGGAGCAAGGGGCUUUGCAAGGUUUUGGCUUAUUCUUCUGUUGAAGUCUUCUUUGGAGGUACUUCAGGAGACUGUGGCAAGGCAAAGGCAUGAUCGUACCACUCCUCGGGUUUUAUGUGUUUACGAUGUGGUUUCUGGGAAAUACUCUGAUAAUAAAUGUAUUGAAAACCUUUUUGUAAUAACUUUAUGAAAUUGGGAUGUUUUUGAAAAGUUUAAAUUAGUUGGAAUUUUUAGAGUGUUACAAUGUAACAUCCCAAAAAUCAUAAGUAAAAAUUUCAUUUUUAAUUCAACCAAAAACCAUCAAAUAUUCAUAUCAACCGUCCAGAAGUAUGUCAUAGUAAAAAUAGUUAUCAGAGCACAAUCCCAAAAUCAUAAAAGUUCGAAAACAUGGGUGGAUGCACUGCAAUCAAGUCGGGACCUUCCCCUUGGAACCGAAAGUACCUGAAACAAAGCUUAAACUGUAAGCACAAAGCUUAGUGAGUUCUCCCUAAAAUACCACAUACCAUACAUAUAAUGGGCCACGUCUGGGAUUGGGCCCCGCCCCGUACAGAUAUGUCUGUAACGUGUGAUGCGACCCACCUAACACACUCAUUAGGCCUCGCCUGGCAUCACGUACCGCCCGUUAUACAUACAAACACACAUAAUACAUACAAGAGUCACAUAUACAACUAGCAUUCUAAUAAAAAUAAUCAAUGAGCCGACAUUAAUGCCUUCGACCCGCUAAAACAUUGUGAUAAGACUCACAAUGUUUUAGCGGGCCGAAGGUACUAAUGUCGUCUCAUUGAUUAUUGUUACUAGAAUGCUAGUUGUCCGUGUUUGUAUGUAUAUCGGGUGAGGCCGGAUGUUAGGCGAGGUCUGAUGAGUGUGUUGGGAGGGGCCCAUCACAUGUUAUAGAAAGAUUUGUACGGUACGAGGCCCAAUGUCGGGCAAUGCCCGAUGGAUGUCGGGCGAGGCCCAUGAUAUGUGGUAUUUUGAGGAGAACUCACUAAGCUUUGUGCUUACAAUUUAAUUCUUGUUCAAAGUACUUCUGGUUCGAAGGGAAAACGCCUGACUUGAUCGCAACACAUCCACUCAUGUUUUUGCAUUUUUAUAAUUUGGGGAUUGUACUCUAAAAAUUGUUUUUACUGUGACAUACUUCUGGAUGGUUGAUAUGAACAUUGAGUAUUACCGACGGCCGCCAAGGCAAGGCGAAGGCGCUAGUUGUGAGGAGUAGAGCUUUUCAGCUGACAGCCGAGGAGGCUCACGCAUCACCAGAUUUGGUUACAUGGACAUUCCUAGUGAACGGUGUUCCAUCUUUAGUUAUGUUUGAUUCGGGCGUCACCCGAUUGUUUGUGUCUAUUGAAUUAUGCAAGAGGUUCGGUGAUGCUCCGGGGGAGCUUGAUUAUCCAUUAGAGGUAGAGAUUGCUGAUGAUCGUUUAGUACAAGUAUCGAUUGUACAUCAAGGUUUUGUUCUGGAGUUAUUCAACGAACGGUAUCCGAUUGAUUUGGUUCCCAUUCCUUUGUGCAAAAGCAAGGUGAUUAUAGGGAUGGCUUGAUUGAUCCCUAAUGGGGAGAUGAUUGACUGCGGGCACCAGUUAGCUCAGGUUCGAACCCCAAGUGGGGAAGAACUGGUUAUUCAUAGCAAGGGUGCUCAGCGGGGACCGACUCUUAGUUCAGCUGCGAGAGCUAGGAGAUAUCUACAUCGCGGGGGUUCUGGUUUUGUGGCUUAUGUAUUUAACACCAGGGAGAAGAAGAAGAGAAUGAUUGAUGAAGUAUCGAUUGUUCGCGUAUAUGUAGAUGUGUUCCCGAAGGACUAGCCCAAAGUGCCUCUAGUUAGGAAGGUGGAGUUUCAUAUUGAUCUGGUUCUAGGUGCAGCUCCGAUAAACAAGACACACUAUUGAUUAGCACCGUCAGAGGUGCAGAAGUUAUCUACCCAACUGCAGGAGCUGUUAGAAAAGAGAUUUAUCAGACUGAGUAGUUCACCUUGGGGAGCACUGAUAUUAUUUGUGAAGAAGAAGUAUGGAUCACACAAUAUUUAUAUUGAUUAUCGGGAGCUUAACAAGUUAACAGUGAAAAACCAUUAUCUGCUUCUGAGGAUUGAUGAUUUGUUCAACCAGCUUCAGGGUGCGUCUUGGUUCUCUAAGAUUGAUUUGCGUUCAGGCUAUCAUCAGACAAGGGUUCGAGAUGAAGAUGUCCAGAAUACAACCUUUAGGACUCGUUAUGGUCGUUACGAGUUUGUGGUGAUGCCUUUUGGGCUUACCAAUACACCAUCAACAUUCAUGGAUCUCAUUAACUGAGUUUGUAGACCAAUGUUGGAUCGUUCAGUCAUCAUGUUCAUUGAUGAUAUCUUGGUCUAUUCUAAGACCAAGGAGUAGAAUGAUGAUCAUUUGCGAAAGGUUUUGGAAACUAUAAGGAGGGAGACGUUGUAUGCCAAAUUCUCCAAGUGCGAUUUUUGGUUGUGUGAGUUGCAGUUUCUGGGGUACCUUGUUACCAGAAGGGUAUUUUGGUUGAUCCGGCUAAGAUCGAGUCUGUAGUGCGAUGGGAGGUUCCAAGGUCUCCAUUCGAGAUUCGGAGUUUCCUUGGUUUAUUUGGGUAUUAUCGGAGGUUUAUCGAGAAUUUCUUGAGGAUCGCAGUUCCGUUGAUUAUGUUGACGAAGAAGUCUGCUAGUUUCUCUUGGGUGCCUGAGUAGUAGGCGACAUUUAAGAAUUUGAGGCAGAAGUUCGAGGCUCCGGUCUUGAACCUUCCAUAGGGUGUGGAUGAUUUCGUGGUGUAUUGUGAUGCAUUGAUUUCAGGAUUGGAUACAAUUUUGAUGCACAUGGGUCGUGCAAUAGCUUAUGCUUCGAGACAGCUGAAGCCUCAUGAGGCAAAUUAUCUCACUCAUGAUUUGGUGCUGGGGGCAGUGGUGUUUGCCCUCAAUAUUUUUCGACAUUACUUGUAUGGGGUUCGUCGUAUCAUUUACAUGGACCAUAAGAGUUUGAGGUAUCUGAUGGAUCAACCAAAUCUAAACAUGAGACGGCGCAAGUGGCUGGAUGUGGUGAAAGAUUAUGAUAUUAAGAUCCUUUAUCACAUGGGGAAGGCCAAGAUGGUGUUCGAUGCUCUUAGCCACAAGGAGGUCGGUACUCCCAUCAUGGAUGUUUGUCUGAGGAUGAUUGUGAUUACCCCACUCUUAGAGCAGAUAUGGGAGGCUCAGGUUGAGGGUAUGCAAGAGGAGCACCAGAAUAGUAAGUGCAUAGUGGGUUGUGUGGCUUCUUUUGAUUAUGAUAGUCAGGGAUUAUUGAACCAUCAUCGGAGAGUCUGGGUUCCAUAUUGCGGGGGUGUGUGGCAGAUUUUGAUGGAGGAGGUGCAUAAGUCGAGGUUUUCUAUUCAUCUGGGAGCGAAAAAAAUGUAUAGAGACAUCUGACUUGAUUAUUGGUGGCCCUGCAUGAAGAGGGAUGUGGCAUGGUAUGUGGAGAGGUGCUUGACUAGUAGGAAAGUCAAGGCCGAGCAUCAACGACUUCACAACAAGAUGGAGCCGUUGGGUGUUCCCGUUUGGAAACCGGAGGAUAUCAAGAUGGAUUUUACCACAAAGUUACCUCAGACUGAGCGAGGGUGGAUUCAAUUUGGGUUAUUGUGGACCGAUUGACCAACAGUAUACAUUUUAUCCCCAUUUAGGAGAGCAUUUCUAUGGAGAAGUUAACAAAUGUGUAUAUCCGAUAGGUUGUAGCAUGACAUGGGGUUCCCAUCAGCCGUCUCAGUGAUUUUGGAUCAGGAUAUUCGGUUUAUUUCUAGGUUUUGGAAGAGGUUCCAUGAGGAGUUGGGUACUUGGUUGCACUUCAGUAUAACCUUUCAUUUGCAGACCAAUGGUAAGAGCAAAUGAACUAUCCAAACCUUGGAGGACAAGCUUCGGGAAUGUGUAUUGGAUUUUGGUGGUCGCUAAUAUACGUAUCUUCCAUUGGUUGAUUUUUCUUACAACAACUACCACACCAGUAUUGAUUGACAUCCUUUUGAGAUGCUCUACGGGAGAACAUGUAGGACCCCUAUUUGCUAGGGUGAGGUCGGAAAAUGAGUUAUGGGUAGCACAGAGAUGGUGCUCCAAACUACUAAGUUGAUCCAACAGGUGCGGGGGACAUUAUAAACCGCACAAAGCUGUCAGAAGAGUUACGUAGAUAGACGCCAGUCAUAUUUGGUAUUUCAGGUUGGGAAUAUGGUACUCCUAAAGGUUUCACCUUGGAAGGGUGUCAUCCGGUUCAGGAAGCGGGGCAAACUGGGCCCCAAAUAUAUCGAUCCUUUCAAGAUUUUUGCACGGGUAUGCAGGGUUGCUUAUCGUUUGGAGCUACCCGGGGAGCUCAUUCAAAUUCACAAUGCUUUUCAUGUCUCUUAGCUAUGGAAUUGUUUGGUUGAUGAUUUUGAAGUGGUUCAAUUGGAGGAUAUGCAAGUGGAUGAACGCCCGAAUUACAUAGAGAGACCGAAUUCCAUCCUAGACAAGAAUACAAAGACUUUUUGAAACAAGGUUGUGGGUCCGGUGAAGGUGUAAUGGUAGCACCGGAAGGGUUCAGAAUGGACAUGGGAGCAUGAGGAGGAGUUGAGAGAGCAUUACCCAUAGUUGUUUACGGAGACGGACUUCGAGGAUGAAGUCUGAUUAAAGUGGGGGAGAAUUGUAACACCCGAUUCCCAGGUAAAUUCAUUCAAUUCUAAAUGUUUAAUUAAAUUACAUCCGUGUUAAUUACACUGGGCGUAAUUGGGGUACGUUGGGCAUACCUUGGCAAGAUUUGGACACAAGGUGUUCCCCCUAGUAUGCUGGGCGUACCUAUGGUAUGUUACUCGAGCAAAGGAAAACCCUAAAAUUUAGGGUUUGGACCCUAUUUAAGAACCUUUAACCCCAAUACCUCUUCUAUGAUUAGCCUCUUUUGUCCCAAAGCAGCUUCCACGAAACCAUAAUCCCUUUUUAGAGAAUAUUGAGCCUUAUAUGUGUUUUGGUGUGUGUUUGGUGCAUCUUGAAGAAAGAAGAACCCUUUGGAAAAGCCUUUGUUGAUUUAAAGCUUGUUGAUCCAUAAUAUAUUCACCUUCAUCAUCUUCCAAAAGGUAUAAAGUCUUAAUCUUGGUGAUUCUUUAUUUAGAUCUAGGCUAGUUAGGGUUUUUGGCAUAUUUUGGUCCCUUAAGUUGAUUCAUGUGAGUAUAAGCUACUCUAGAAGUUUAGAAUUGUAGAUCUUGAUGGUCAUAUUAUGAAGUUAGAGUGUUAGAAAUGGAUGUUAGGCCUCUUUGAGCCAUGAAAAGGCAUCAAGUUGAUGACUUUAUCAUUUAAGACGUUUCCCAAGAACUAGAUAUAUGAUUUGGACAUUUGGACUUAAGGCAUUAAGAGCUUAAUGGGAGUUUUGGUAAUCAGGGGGUAUAUAGGUGUACACUCAACGUAACAUGUUUUAGCCUAGUUUUCCCUUGCUGUGAGAGCUUGUAUGUUGGGCAUAACAAGGUGGUAUGCUUAACAUACUCACCAAAAGCCUUUUUGGGCCAUUUCUUAGGCCUUAGGUCUUUUAGGAUUGGUUCAUGACUUGUUGGGCCUACGGUCGGAAGGGUAAAAAGAUCUUUUACCUUUUGUGAGAGGGUUUAUGAUUGGGCUUAUAGUUGUGGAGCCAUCGUAGCAACAACUUGUGUGUGACUGUUCAUCAUAUGAUUGAGCUGAGUCUUCUCACAAUGUUUUAGCAGGUUGAAGGCACACACAUCGACUCAUUGAUUAUUGUUAUUAAAAUGCUAGUUGUCUGUGUGACUCCUGCAUGUAUUGUAUGUGCUUGUAUACUAGGGGUGAGUAUUAGGACCGCCAGAACCAAUGUUGUAUUUUCUCUAUUUCAACAUUUUUUUUGUUUUUUUGAAUCUGUCCCAUUUUUUUAAAUGUGCAUAACUCAUUCAUAUGACAUCGGAAGUACUUAACUUUUUUUUUUCCAGCAUGUAAUUUAGUGUCUGUACUUCAUUUUAGACUAUAAAAACACAUAUUUUGGUUAGAUAUUGAAUAAGUUAUAGAACUCGAAAGACAACAUAUCAAUGUUGCAUAUUUUCUGUUUCAACAUUUUCUUUUUGGAAUUUGUUCCGCUUUUAAAAUGCGCAUAACUCACUCAUAUGAAGUCAAAAUUACUUGAUCUUUUUUCAUGUAAUUUAGUGUAAUUUAGAAUGUAAAAAGUCAUAAUUUGGUUAAAUAUUGAAUUAUUUACAAGCUCCGGAAGAUAACAUAUCAUAUAUAAUAUUUCAACCGGUUCUAGUUUAAAAAAUAACUGAAAAAUCGGGACCGGAACCAGAAAUAGUGCUAGAACUGGCGUCCGGUUCCCGGUUCUUAUAAUACAGGAAAACCGGUUCCGUUUCUAAAGCUCAUCCCUAAUGUAUACUAGGCGGGGCCAGAUGCCAGGCGAGGCCUGAUGAGUGUGUUGGGCGGGGCCCAUCGCAUGUUACUGACAGAUCUGCACUUGGAGGGCUUCAAUGUUGUGUGAGGCCUGUUGUAUGUAUGAUAUGUGGUAUUUUGGGGAGAACUCACUAAACUUUGUGCUUAUAGUUUAAGUUUUGUCUCCGGUACUUCCGGUUUGAAGAGGAAGAGUCCGACUUAAUUGCAACACAUCCACCCAUGUUUCCACACUUUUAUGAUUUUGGAAUUGUACUCUGAUAACUAUUUUUACUUUGACAUACUUCUAGGUGGUUUGAUAUGAAUAUUUUAUGGUUUUGGUUGAAUUAAAAUUGAAAUUUUUACUUAUGAUUUUUGGGAUGUUAUACUACAUAACUUCCUCACAUGACCUUGGAACAAGGUCACUUUUUCUAGAUUGUAGUACUCCAUGUGGGCUCCAUUGUAAGAUCAAAAAACAUCUUAAUCUGUUAAGAAAUGACCGACUUAUACAACUCUAAACAGGGGCUGUUGGGUUUUUUGGUUUCUGUUUCAACAUUAUAAUUUUUUUACUCAACUUUGAACAUACAUAACUUUCUUGAAUGACCUUAGAAACAUGUCAUUUUUUUUCUAGAUUGUAAUACUCGAACUUCAUUUUAAGCUAAAAAACAUAUUAAUCUAUUAAGACUUGAUCGACUUAUACAACUCUAAACAUGGGCUGUUGGGUUUUUUGGUUUGUGUUUCAACAUUUUAUAAAUGUUUUACUCAACUUUGGACAUACAUAACCUCCUCAUAUGACCUCGGAAAAAGGUCAUUUUUUCAUAAUAAUAUGUAUUUACUUGCCUUAUACAUAUACUUAUUCUUAUUCGUAUGCAUAUACUUAUAAAUA